rnacentral:rRNA from 1 species
UACGUAGGGUGCAAGCGUUAAAUCGGAAUUACUGGGCGUAAAGCGUGCGCAGGCGGCUUUGCAAGACAGAUGUGAAAUCCCCGGGCUCAACCUGGGAACUGCAUUUGUGACUGCAGGGCUGGAGUACGGCAGAGGGGGAUGGAAUUCCGCGUGUAGCAGUGAAAUGCGUAGAUAUGUGGAGGAACACCAAUGGCGAAGGCAGCCUUCUGGGUCGACACUGACGCUCAUGCACGAAAGCGUGGGGAGCAAACAGG